UUUUGAAUACCUAAUAGAUAUAAAAUUUAAAAUAAUUAACAUAUUUAAGUAUAUAAUUGUGAGUUAGAUAUUUUUGGUAUCCAAUUUUUUUUAGUUUGGAUCAGAUUCUGAUAUGGUUAUCUGGAUAUUAAACUUUUAGAUCCAUCUAACUACUUAAUCAGUUUUAUUUUGUAUUUUAGUAUUACUUUCAAAUCUACUUCGGUUUGGUUCUUCGGAUCAGAUAUUUUGCCCAGAUUUAAUUUCUUUUAAUAAUAUAAAUUAAAAUAAAAUAAAUGUAAAACAAAUAUUCAGGGUUUUUUAACAUACAUAAUUAUUGGACCAUACUUUAAGAAAACCAAUAAAAAUGGUGGGGCGUCGUGUCAAUAUUGUUGGGCAUAUUGCAAAACUGACAUAGUCUAUAAUCAAUAACGUGUAUUUUCUUAUAAAAAAUUAUUGAUGAAUAUAAUAAAAACACGAUACAAUCGAGUGAAAUGUGUUAGAGUUGCGUGAAAUUAAUGUGAUCUCUUCAAUCGGUACCUGAAUUUUGUUUUUCAAAUCGAUUUCAUGAACUUUUUUUCUUUUAAAGCUUUUCUAAUUUCUGAUUUUUUCUAACAGUCUGAUUAUGUUUCUAAUUCUUGGUAUGAUAUGAAAACUCCGUAAAGAAAAACAAUAUUUGGCUAAACUAAAGAUCUGAUUUUGUGUGUGGUGUUUUUUACAUCAAUUUUCUUAGCUCAUAACUAAUCACAAUUAUUUAUUGUCUUCAUGUACAGAAACUUCAACCAUACCUAAGUUCGGCAACAUAAGAAACUUUCAAUUUCUAAAAACAUUCUUGUUCCAGCAUUUUAGUUAAUGUGAAUCUUAAUGAUUUUGUAAUUUUUUCUUUCAAAAUGAUAUUAUUCAGUAGUUGUACAAAGACAAUUUAAGUUCAAUAAUACAAAAAUUAAAAAUGCAGAAAUUAAAAAUUAACUUAUUAAGAAAAAAUAGUGUGUAAAUGCAUUAAUUAUUAAAUGAUUGUGAAACCGACACGUCAGAAUAUAUUCAAAUUGAAAUCGAUGUAGGAUGCCACGUGGCUAGUGUAGUGUGAAAACAUUAAAUGACAAUGAUUUUUUUUUAAUGUAAACGAGAUCUAUAAGUUUUAAUUAAUUUCAAAAUAUUUUUCCUAUUUGUUUUCCAUAAUUUGUUUGCAUGAGUCAUCUUAUUUAUUAUAAGUUGACUCUCAAUUUCUUUCUAUUUUUUCAAUUUGUGGUACUUUUGAAAUAUAUCUACACAUCUAAUUUGUUAUAUAUAAGAUAUUCACGGAUGCAAUACAACCUCAUCACUGUUCUUUAUUUUAAAGUUUUCACUUUUUGUUGCAUCAUCAAAAAUGGUUAAAACCACAAUUUUUGCUAUUUUCAUGGUUGUUCUUGUUUUAGGGAUGGUGAUGGAGUCGCAAGGACAAGAAUCUUGUCGUGAAUAUAUUAGUGGAACAGAAAUUUGCCAAGCUAAACAAUGUGAUGAUCAGUGUACAGUCGAGUAUAAUGGAUAUGGCAAGUGCUUAGCAGGCACAGUGUGCCUCUGCACUUUUAUUUGUAAAACUUAAUUUUCAUUUGUUAUUAAUAAACUAUUAUCAAAUAAAUUAAAUUAAAAAA